rnacentral:lncRNA from 1 species
UGUCAAUUGACCACAAAAUUAAGUUUGAUCAUAUUUUAAUCAAUUUUCACAAGAUGAAAUGGUAACUUUCUAUUUAUCACAUUAAACAAUUAUAAAAUUUAAAUCAAAAAAAUUAAAAAUAAAUAAAAGAAAAAUAUAAAAGUCUCUCUUCUUUACCCUAGCCGAAAAAUCAAAAUCACACAACUGUCUUCAACCUUUGGCGCCAACGUCGACAUCACCUCUAUAGCAAAUCGCAGACAACACCCUUUCUGGCUACACCCAUGCUGGCCGCAACCCUCUUUUCAACGAACACCCAUGCUGGCAGCCACCAAACAGACUCCUCUCUAGCCUGUCCCAUUUCAAUUUGAUGCAUCCUGCAUGCUCUAAGCCACAAAUUCAACUGAGAAAAAUGCACUUCAGGUCCUAUCAACUAUGGAAAACACACCAAUUAAAUUCUCAAAUUGCAACCCACACACGGAUUCAAGUAAUCCCACUAAUCCUGAACCCAGCAUUUAAAGUUUGACAAUGCACAAACUUCUAACCAAAUUUCCACUCAAAACCAAAUUUAGCUAGAGAUUUGAGGUAGCGGGAGGGGGUGGAGGGAGGGAAGACGAUUGAACGUGAGGACUUUGAUGAGGAUGGUGAAAUUUGGGUUAGGAUUUGAAGUUGAAAUUGUGCUACCAGAGCCGGUGGUGGCAAUUGUGUCUGUAUCAGUUUUUUGGUCCUUCUUAAGCGAGUCUUUGGAAUCUAAAGGUUUGACCCUUGUAUUAGUCUGGUAUGGGAUAAAUGGUGAUGGUCUUGACUAGUGGACCUCUGGGUUGAGAAGUCGAUUUUUGUUGGCUUCGAUGAUGAGAGUUGGGUGGGGUAAUUUUGUGGUUGGGUGUGGCGUUCG